UUGAGCCGUGUGCCUGGAAAUCGGGCACGCACGGUUCUGAGGGGGCCGGGUCAUGGCAACGUGACCCGGCUACCCGAC
rnacentral:ncRNA from 1 species